rnacentral:snoRNA from 1 species
CAGCAGACAGUUAUCCCUUUCUGGUCUGCCCUGUGGUCUCUGAGGGAGUCAGUCUGCAACAUCAACUCUCGUAGCUCAGCAGAGAUCU